rnacentral:tRNA from 1 species
GACCCUGUAGUGAAGUUCAUGAUGAGUUGCAAGCUCGUUGAUGUACGUUAAGGGCGUACCGGG